rnacentral:rRNA from 1 species
UGACUUAGUGGCGGACGGGUGAGUAACGCGUGAGCAACCUGCCCAUAAGAGGGGGACAACAGCUGGAAACGGCUGCUAAUACCGCAUAAGACCACACUACCGCAUGGUAGAGAGGUCAAAGAUUUAUCACUUAUGGAUGGGCUCGCGUCCCAUUAGGUAGUUGGUAGGGUAAUGGCCUACCAAGCCCGCGAUGGGUAGCCGACCUGAGAGGGUGAUCGGCCACACUGGAACUGAGAUACGGUCCAGACUCCUACGGGAGGCAGCAGUGGGGAAUAUUGGGCAAUGGGGGAAACCCUGACCCAGCAACGCCGCGUGAGGGAAGAAGGUCUUCGGAUUGUAAACCUCUGUCCUUGGGGACGAAGAAAGUGACGGUACCCAAGGAGGAAGCCCCGGCUAACUACGUGCCAGCAGCCGCGGUAAUACGUAGGGGGCAAGCGUUGUCCGGAAUUACUGGGCGUAAAGGGAGCGUAGGCGGCCGUAUAAGUUAGAUGUGAAAUCCCCGUGCUUAACGCGGGGGCUGCAUCUAAUACUGUAUGGCUUGAGUGCAGGAGAGGAAAGUGGAAUUCCUAGUGUAGCGGUGAAAUGCGUAGAUAUUAGGAGGAACAUCGGUGGCGAAGGCGACUUUCUGGACUGUAACUGACGCUGAGGCUCGAAAGCGUGGGGAGCAAACAGGAUUAGAUACCCUGGUAGUCCACGCUGUAAACGAUGGAUACUAGGUGUGGGGGUCAUAAGACUUCCGUGCCGCAGCAAACGCAUUAAGUAUCCCGCCUGGGGAGUACGGUCGCAAGACUGAAACUCAAAGGAAUUGACGGGGGCCCGCACAAGCAGCGGAGCAUGUGGUUUAAUUCGAAGCAACGCGAAGAACCUUACCAAGGCUUGACAUCCUCUGACCGCCAUGGAAACAUGGCUUCUCUUCGGAGCAGAGAGACAGGUGGUGCAUGGUUGUCGUCAGCUCGUGUCGUGAGAUGUUGGGUUAAGUCCCGCAACGAGCGCAACCCUUAUCAUUAGUUGCCAGCGCGUAAUGGUGGGAACUCUAAUGAGACUGCCGGGGAUAACUCGGAGGAAGGUGGGGACGACGUCAAAUCAUCAUGCCCCUUAUGUCUUGGGCUACACACGUGCUACAAUGGCCGGUACAAAGGGUAGCGAUCACGCAAGUGUAAGCGAAUCUCAAAAAGCCGGUCUCAGUUCGGAUCGUGGGCUGCAACCCGCCCACGUGAAGUCGGAGUUGCUAGUAAUCGCGAAUCAGCAUGUCGCGGUGAAUGCGUUCCCGGGCCUUGUACACACCGCCCGUCA